rnacentral:misc_RNA from 1 species
GUGAGUCAUCGAAUCUUUGAACGCACAUUGCGCCCGCCAGUACUCUGGCGGGCAUGCCUGUCUGAGCGUCAUUUCAACCCUCGCCCCCGGCUUCUGUCGGGGACGGUGUUGGGGAUCGGCCUCCCGUCUUCCGGGUGGCCGGCCCCUAAAUUGAGUGGCGACCACGCCGUAACCUCCUCUGCGUAGUAGUUAAACACUCGCGGGCGGAGAGCGGUGCGGCCUGCCGUAAAACCCCCAACUCUUCUAAGGUUGACCUCAGAUCAGGUAGGAAUACCCGCUGAACUUAAGCAUAUCAAUAAGCGGAGGA